AGACGACCGCCGCGCUGGUAUGAGAAAUCGUGCUAGCGGGGAGGAAAGUCCGAACUCCGUAGGGCAGUGCGCCGGGUAACUCCCGGUCAGGGUGACCUGAAGGAAAGUGGCACAGAAAAUAUACCGCCGCCAUUCGAGCGUUCUCAGGAGUGCUCGUUGGGGUAAGGGUGAAAUGGUGCGGUAAGAGCGCACCGCAUCCGCCGUAAGGCGGGUGGCAGGCUAAACCCCGCACGGAGCAAGGCCAAAUAGGAAGGCGUUUGAGGAUUGCCCGUCUGAAGCCUUCGGGUAGGUUGCUUGACUCUGCCAGUAAUGGUGGGGCUAGAGGAAUGGUCGUUAUCUCUAUGCUAUCGCUUUUAUGUGGUGGCUUGGAGACACAGAAUUCGGCUUACUGUACGUC
rnacentral:RNase_P_RNA from 1 species